rnacentral:tRNA from 1 species
UCCCUGGUGGUCCAGUGGUUAAGACUUUGCCUUCCAAUGCAGGGGAUAUAGGUUCGAUCCCUAGUCAGGGAG